rnacentral:rRNA from 1 species
GGGUUGUGAGGUUAAGCGACUAAGCGUACACGGUGGAUGCCCUGGCAGUCAGAGGCGAUGAAGGACGUGCUAAUCUGCGAUAAGCGUCGGUAAGGUGAUAUGAACCGUUAUAACCGGCGAUUUCCGAAUGGGGAAACCCAGUGUGUUUCGACACACUAUCAUUAACUGAAUCCAUAGGUUAAUGAGGCGAACCGGGGGAACUGAAACAUCUAAGUACCCCGAGGAAAAGAAAUCAACCGAGAUUCCCCCAGUAGCGGCGAGCGAACGGGGAGCAGCCCAGAGCCUGAAUCAGUGUGUGUGUUAGUGGAAGCGUCUGGAAAGGCGCGCGAUACAGGGUGACAGCCCCGUACACAAAAAUGCACAUGCUGUGAGCUCGAUGAGUAGGGCGGGACACGUGGUAUCCUGUCUGAAUAUGGGGGGACCAUCCUCCAAGGCUAAAUACUCCUGACUGACCGAUAGUGAACCAGUACCGUGAGGGAAAGGCGAAAAGAACCCCGGCGAGGGGAGUGAAAAAGAACCUGAAACCGUGUACGUACAAGCAGUGGGAGCACGCUUAGGCGUGUGACUGCGUACCUUUUGUAUAAUGGGUCAGCGACUUAUAUUCUGUAGCAAGGUUAACCGAAUAGGGGAGCCGAAGGGAAACCGAGUCUUAACUGGGCGUUAAGUUGCAGGGUAUAGACCCGAAACCCGGUGAUCUAGCCAUGGGCAGGUUGAAGGUUGGGUAACACUAACUGGAGGACCGAACCGACUAAUGUUGAAAAAUUAGCGGAUGACUUGUGGCUGGGGGUGAAAGGCCAAUCAAACCGGGAGAUAGCUGGUUCUCCCCGAAAGCUAUUUAGGUAGCGCCUCGUGAAUUCAUCUCCGGGGGUAGAGCACUGUUUCGGCAAGGGGGUCAUCCCGACUUACCAACCCGAUGCAAACUGCGAAUACCGGAGAAUGUUAUCACGGGAGACACACGGCGGGUGCUAACGUCCGUCGUGAAGAGGGAAACAACCCAGACCGCCAGCUAAGGUCCCAAAGUCAUGGUUAAGUGGGAAACGAUGUGGGAAGGCCCAGACAGCCAGGAUGUUGGCUUAGAAGCAGCCAUCAUUUAAAGAAAGCGUAAUAGCUCACUGGUCGAGUCGGCCUGCGCGGAAGAUGUAACGGGGCUAAACCAUGCACCGAAGCUGCGGCAGCGACGCUGAUGCGUUGUUGGGUAGGGGAGCGUUCUGUAAGCCUGCGAAGGUGUGCUGUGAGGCAUGCUGGAGGUAUCAGAAGUGCGAAUGCUGACAUAAGUAACGAUAAAGCGGGUGAAAAGCCCGCUCGCCGGAAGACCAAGGGUUCCUGUCCAACGUUAAUCGGGGCAGGGUGAGUCGACCCCUAAGGCGAGGCCGAAAGGCGUAGUCGAUGGGAAACAGGUUAAUAUUCCUGUACUUGGUGUUACUGCGAAGGGGGGACGGAGAAGGCUAUGUUGGCCGGGCGACGGUUGUCCCGGUUUAAGCGUGUAGGCUGGUUUUCCAGGCAAAUCCGGAAAAUCAAGGCUGAGGCGUGAUGACGAGGCACUACGGUGCUGAAGCAACAAAUGCCCUGCUUCCAGGAAAAGCCUCUAAGCAUCAGGUAACAUCAAAUCGUACCCCAAACCGACACAGGUGGUCAGGUAGAGAAUACCAAGGCGCUUGAGAGAACUCGGGUGAAGGAACUAGGCAAAAUGGUGCCGUAACUUCGGGAGAAGGCACGCUGAUAUGUAGGUGAAGUCCCUCGCGGAUGGAGCUGAAAUCAGUCGAAGAUACCAGCUGGCUGCAACUGUUUAUUAAAAACACAGCACUGUGCAAACACGAAAGUGGACGUAUACGGUGUGACGCCUGCCCGGUGCCGGAAGGUUAAUUGAUGGGGUUAGCCGCAAGGCGAAGCUCUUGAUCGAAGCCCCGGUAAACGGCGGCCGUAACUAUAACGGUCCUAAGGUAGCGAAAUUCCUUGUCGGGUAAGUUCCGACCUGCACGAAUGGCGUAAUGAUGGCCAGGCUGUCUCCACCCGAGACUCAGUGAAAUUGAACUCGCUGUGAAGAUGCAGUGUACCCGCGGCAAGACGGAAAGACCCCGUGAACCUUUACUAUAGCUUGACACUGAACAUUGAGCCUUGAUGUGUAGGAUAGGUGGGAGGCUUAGAAGUGUGGACGCCAGUCUGCAUGGAGCCGACCUUGAAAUACCACCCUUUAAUGUUUGAUGUUCUAACGUUGACCCGUAAUCCGGGUUGCGGACAGUGUCUGGUGGGUAGUUUGACUGGGGCGGUCUCCUCCUAAAGAGUAACGGAGGAGCACGAAGGUUGGCUAAUCCUGGUCGGACAUCAGGAGGUUAGUGCAAUGGCAUAAGCCAGCUUGACUGCGAGCGUGACGGCGCGAGCAGGUGCGAAAGCAGGUCAUAGUGAUCCGGUGGUUCUGAAUGGAAGGGCCAUCGCUCAACGGAUAAAAGGUACUCCGGGGAUAACAGGCUGAUACCGCCCAAGAGUUCAUAUCGACGGCGGUGUUUGGCACCUCGAUGUCGGCUCAUCACAUCCUGGGGCUGAAGUAGGUCCCAAGGGUAUGGCUGUUCGCCAUUUAAAGUGGUACGCGAGCUGGGUUUAGAACGUCGUGAGACAGUUCGGUCCCUAUCUGCCGUGGGCGCUGGAGAACUGAGGGGGGCUGCUCCUAGUACGAGAGGACCGGAGUGGACGCAUCACUGGUGUUCGGGUUGUCAUGCCAAUGGCACUGCCCGGUAGCUAAAUGCGGAAGAGAUAAGUGCUGAAAGCAUCUAAGCACGAAACUUGCCCCGAGAUGAGUUCUCCCUGAC